ACCUGGCUGGCUCAGUUGGUAGAGCAUGUAACUCUUAAUCUCAGGGUUGUGAGUUCGAGCCCCAUGUUGGGUA
rnacentral:tRNA from 1 species